rnacentral:rRNA from 1 species
CGUAGGGGGCGAGCGUUGUCCGGAUUUAUUGGGCGUAAAGAGCUCGUAGGCGGUUUGGUAAGUCGGGUGUGAAAUCUCCACGCUCAACGUGGAGGGGCCACUCGAUACUGCCAUGACUCGAGUCCGGUAGAGGAGUGUGGAAUUCCCGGUGUAGCGGUGAAAUGCGCAGAUAUCGGGAGGAACACCCGUAGCGAAGGCGGCACUCUGGGCCGGCACUGACGCUGAGGAGCGAAAGCGUGGGGAGCAAACAGGAUUAGAUACCCUGGUAGUCCACGCCGUAAACGUUGGGCACUAGGUGUGGGGAUCUAUCGACGGUUUCCGUGCCGAAGCUAACGCAUUAAGUGCCCCGCCUGGGGAGUACGGCCGCAAGGCUA